UACGUAGGGGGCUAGCGUUGUCCGGAAUCAUUGGGCGUAAAGAGCGUGUAGGCGGUCCGGUAAGUCCGCUGUGAAAGUCGGGGGCUCAACCCUCGAAUGCCGGUGGAUACUGUCGGGCUAGAGUGCGGAAGAGGCGAGUGGAAUUCCUGGUGUAGCGGUGAAAUGCGCAGAUAUCGGGAGGAACACCAGUGGCGAAGGCGACUACCUGGCCUGUUCUUGACGCUGAGGCGCGAAAGCUGGGGGAGCAAACGGG
rnacentral:rRNA from 1 species